rnacentral:lncRNA from 1 species
AUUGAAUGCAGAGUGUGUUAAUGUGUAGCGAAUGCAGAGUGUGUGUCAGUGUAGUGGAUGCAGUGAGUGUGUUAGUGUGUAGUGAAUGCAGAGUGUGUGUUGUAUUAGUGUAUGCAGUGUGUGUGUUGUGUUAGUGUAUACAGCGUGUGUGUUGUAUUAGUGUAUGCAGUGUGUGUGUUGUGUUAGUGUAUGCAGUGUGUGUUGUGUUAGUGUAUGCAG